rnacentral:rRNA from 1 species
GUAGGGUGCAAGCGUUAUCCGGAAUCAUUGGCGUAAAGAGCUCGUAGGCGGUUCAGCAAGUCGGCUGUGAAAUCCCGAGGGCUUAACCUCGGAACUGCAGUCGAUACUGCUGUGACUAGAGUCCGGUAGAGGAGGAUGGAAUUCCCGGUGUAGCGGUGAAAUGCGCAGAUAUCGGGAGGAACACCAGUAGCGAAGGCGGUUCUCUGGGCCGGUACUGACGCUGAGGAGCGAAAGCGUGGGUAGCAAACAGGAUUAGAUACCCUGGUAGUCCACGCCGUAAGCGUUGGACACUAGGUGUGGCGUUCCGACCAACGGGUGCCGUGCCGAAGCUAACGCAUUAAGUGUCCCGCCUGGGGAGUACGGCCGCAAGGCUA